AGCCACUGCCGGACAGGAGGGGAGGGGUAGCUUCCGCUCAGCCGAGAGGCAAGAUGGCCACGGCUGGGGGCAGCCCUGCGGCCGAUCCGGGGAGUCGGAGACUUCUUCGCCUUGUGUCUUUCUUCGUCCUGCUGGCAGGUUUCUGCAGGGGAAAUUCAGUGGAGAGGAAGAUCUACAUCUCCUUAAAUAAAACAGCUCCUUGUGUCCGUCUGCUCAA